rnacentral:rRNA from 1 species
CCGCGGUAAUUCCAGCUCCAAUAGCGUAUAUUAAACUUGUUGCAGUUAAAAAGCUCGUAGUUGAAUUUCUGCGUUGCCCGACUCGGCUACUUGCCUUGUCUGGUUUCGCUUUUGGGGUUUUCCCCUUUUUACUUUGAGAAAAUUAGAGUGUUUCAAGCAGACUUGUGUCUUGAAUACUUCAGCAUGGAAUAAUAAAGUAGGACUUUGGUUCUAUUUUGUUGGUUUGUGAACCUUAGUAAUGGUUAAUAGGAACGGUUGGGGGCAUUCGUAUUUAACUGUCAGAGGUGAAAUUCUUAGAUUUGUUAAAGACAAACUACUG